ACUCAAAGGAAUUGACGGGGACUUGCACAAGCGGUGGAUAAUGUGGCUUAAUUCGUCGGUAAACGAAGAACCUUACCAAGAUUAGAAAUCCAGCUGCAUCUCAUCCGAAAGGAAGAGAGCCUUCGAGGGUGCUGGACAGGUGAUGCAUGGUUGUCGUCAGUUCGUGGUUUGAACUGUUCCCUUCAGUGGGGUAACGAACGCAACCCCCGUUGCCUGUUAUAUAUGUCAGGCGAGACUGCUCCCUCACGGGAGAGGAAGGUGGGGAUGACGCCAAAUCAGCAUGUCCCUCUGAUAUCUUGGGCUGCACACGUUAUACAAUGGUCGGGAACAACAGGAGGCAAUACCGCAAGGUGGAGCAAAUCCCAAAAACCGUCCUCAGUACGGAUCGAGGUCUGCAACCGACCUCGUGAAGCCGGAAUCGCUAGUAAUGGCAGGUCAGCUAUACUGCCGUGAAUACGUUCUCAAGUCUUGUACACACCGCCCGU
rnacentral:rRNA from 1 species